UAUUUCUAACAAAUUUUGCCUAUCGAUAAAGCCAAUUUUUACAUAGUGUUCUGUAAAAAUGGUUGGUUCUUGAUUUUGUCUUUCAAAUAUGAAAGAAGUUAGGUAUUUAUUUUGCUUUCCAAACUCGUUCAAAGUGAAGAAACUUAAGUUUCAAUUAUAAAUCUCAAGUGCAAAAAUUCAAUCAGUACAUAUCUUCUUAUCUUCUUGAUAUAAUUGAAGAUGGUAGAUACUUCACUACAUUAUGAAGAUUGUAGAUACUCUUAUUACCAUAUAUUUGUUGUGUAGUAUUAAAUAAUAACGAUCUCACUUGAAGCUGCAUUAUUUGUUUAAGCAACAUUUGUUCAAAGAAAAAUAAAAACAAUAUAUAUAUAUAUAUAUAUUUUGUACUCAUACGGGCGAGACUGAAGAUCCGGUCAUCCUGACCGAGACUCGGACUUGCUGACCGAGACCGGGGAAAUCUUGUCGAGACCACAAAAACUUGGUCGAGACAAGAAAAAUCGCCACGGUCAAUCUGACCGGCCGACCCAUACAUUCAUUAACGCUCAAAUCGAGGUUAGUGGAGCUAAUCUGUCAUUAAGGAUUAGGUAAUACACCUAUAAGUGAGAUUCAUUACACUAAUCAGAUCCAACAAGGUAAGUCCAUUAAAAUGGUAUAAAUAACACAUAUCCUAAGGAGAAAGGUACGUCAUUUAUUAUUGUGCACCUACCCGAAUGCGAUCACCCGCUUUACUGACUUGAGCGUUCCGCAGGUACCUCCAUUCGAUGUUCACCCAAGACCGAGAGUCGAAGAAGAAACACGAAGACGAGAAGAACUUCAGUCAAGCACUCAACAACCUGUCUGAUCAAGGAGGAGGACGAAAACUUCAAUAGUUCUCUAGGUCCUAUCUCCCUAGCAGAAACAUAUAUAUAUAUAUUUUUUAAAGAGACUUAUCAUAAGAUAAGUGUUCUGAAUGGAAAAGAGAUUAAUUAUGUGACAAAGCGAACCUCCUUUAUAGAAGAAUCCAAAAAAGUGAAAAACAGCAACACCAUUAUUGAAAUCAUUGAAUAAAACAAAGAACAAGAGAAUUAGAUUCCACCCAAAUUAAGUGUAAGGUUUACAUUUCCCUUCAUGUGAGUGAGCAAAGAAUCUUUAGUUUGUGUAUUUAUAGAAAGCCUUAGAAACCCAAUAAUAAUGCAGUGGAGAAGCAUUUGAUUAUUAGUUCAGGUGAAGUGGUCAAACAGAGAUAUAAUAUAAUAUUUUGUCUUUAGGUUCAUCAGAUCCUAGUAAUAAUAAUCCAUUUACAUCAUUGAGUUUCAGUUGCAGAUAUAUAUAUGCAUGUCUCCACCUAUUUCUUCAUAGAUUUUCAGUUUUCAUUCCAGUUCUGUUCAUUAACCAUUUCAUUACAUUUUUUCUUAUGUAUAUAUGGUUUUAACUGCCAUACAUGCAUCUAUACUGAUAAGAUGCAUAUAAGUUUAUAUAUAUGGCAUGAUAAGUGAUGCAUGAUGCAUCUUAUAUAUAACCUUUUGGUUUGUUGGAGUAAACUUGUUGAUGUCUUUUAUGCAGGUUUUUGACUUUUGGCUCCUUUCCCACUCUCCAAUAAUGGAAAAAGCGACGAUAGAAACCUUUGAACCCAUAAAGUUAGAAACCAUUGAACCCAAAUGGAUUGACAAUGAACCAGAAGUUGGACCCUUUUGGAACCAAAGCACAGCAAAUAAACACAGGGAGGUGAAGAAGUCGCAUACAGACCUAAGCAAACCUGUCCAAACCAAAAUCUGGUGGAAUGGAAAAAAAACUCUUUUCUGAAAGGUGAUGAACAAGCCAAGUAAUCAAUUUCUAAGUGUACCUUUGCCUAAAAGUGAUGCAACUUCUACUAGUGUAUGAAACCACAAAUAAGUGAUGAAACUUCAACUAGUGUAUGAAACCACAAAUAAAUAUGUACUGUUUCAGGAAUAAAACUACUUUUUAAUUUUGUUUCAAUUCUCAUGUAAACAUGCACUAGCUAGAAGUUCAACACACUAAUUUUUAAAAUAAAAAUACUUUUGAAUUCCGCUAAAAUUGAUUAAAAUAUCUUAAUGCAACGCCUAACAUAAUCUAAUAUAUUAGUAGAUUAAUAUAAUAAUAUUUCUCAUAUAUACUAUUAAUUUCUAUAUAAGAUACAUUGUACUUGAUAUUCGAACAUAAUUUCUUAAAAAAUAAUAUAUACAUCAAUCCACAAAAAAUAAUAUCCAUUAACUCUGAAUACUUCACGUAAAAUCAAAUUAUACAAACAUAUACAUGAGGUUGAAUUAAUUUAAAAAUACCUAAAGAAUACAUAUGAAAUUAUCCUAAUAAUAUUCAUGCACUAUAAAUUAUAUUUGAUUCACAUAUGAAUUUUUAACCUCUUCUUGUAAAAAGACUUAUAUUAGGUGUAUCUCAUCAGAAUUUCGAAUGUGACUCGUUAAAAAUAUUACUAGUAAAAAUAAAUAUUGAUUUCUUAUUUUAGGCUUUCAUUGUAAAAAGUGGUAUAAUACAAAAAUCUCCUUCAACUUCUCACCAUUUUAGUCUUAUUUAUAUGAUUAGAUCAUUAGUAAAACAUAAGAUAUACUAUUUAAAUAAAUCAACGCGUUACUUUGAGCUUUUUAACAUAUUAUUUACUAAACUUCACAUUUUUAACAAAUUAGAUUGUUUGUUUUUUUUUAUCAACAAGCAGAAAAUGAAUAAAUAUGAACCACUUCAAGAGUGGUCCAAUCCUUAUACAUGAUUGCUAAAAACCAUGAUGUCACGUCUUUCCAAGUUAUCUUUAGUUGCAACUGAAUUUAGUAGCACCCUCCAAGCAAUAAACUGGGUUGAAGGCAAAACAAAAGUCUUCCACAGAGGAACAAACAGACUAUCUCCCUCGAAAGGACCUCUUAAAGUUUCAUAGGCAGACUUUACUGAAAACCCAUUAUCCUUACCAACCUUCCAAACCCAGUUAUCUUCAUAAUUCAAGACAAGGACCUUUCCAUGCAUCUCUUGUAAUAGUUGAAGUUCCUUAUUUUUCUCCCAAUCAAACAGAACUCUUCUCCAGACAAACUUUGAAUCCCAUAUACCAUUAAACCACUCCUCACUAGACUCUAAAUUACCUUAUUUAUUACAACACAAAGAAAACAGUCUUGAAAAUUUACUCUUCAAAUCUUCAUUGUCCACCCACACAUCUUUCCAGAACAAGACUUCCUUCCCGUUUCCCACUCCCCACUCCCCACUCGAAACAGUCCUCAAAGUUCCUACCCCAUUCCUUCAUCCCCCAAACUCCCUUCAAAUCUCUCCACCAGUUGGAAUCCUUAGCAUUGACACUUUGCUCUUGCAAGCUUCUCCAACCUUCAUAUUUAGACUCGAGAAUCUCCUUCCAGAGACCACCCUUAUCAAAACCCAGACAUUAAAUCCAUUUUCUCAUCAAAGUCACAAUGAAAAGCCUUAAUUUCAAAAUACCAAGACCGCCAGCUUCUCGAGGCUCGCAAGCCUUUUUCCAAGAAACCCACACAAUCUUCCUUCCUUCUGAACCCCAACCCCACAAAAACCUUCUUUGAAUUUUCUCAAUCUCCUUCAACACAACAAGAGGCAACUUAUUCAUAGAUAUAUAGAACAACGGGAGAGAAGAAAUAACUGACUUAAUCAGACAAACCCUCUCAACCAAUGAAGAGUUACUUUGACAAAAUCUGUCAUCUCUGUUGUCCCUUUAUAUUUCCUGACUCUUUUCAAAAUGCCCACAACAGUUGAGAAAUUAAUCACAAGAUUACAAAGAGAUUUUUUUAUAGGGAUGGGGUAUCUUUUGCUGGAAGAGUUACUUUGACAAAAUUUGUCGUCUUUGUGGUCCCUUUAUAUUACCUGUCUCUUUUUAAAAUGCCCAUAGCAGUUGGGAAAUUAAUCACGGGACUACAAAGAGAUUUUUUUAUGGGAUAGAGAAGUGAUAGAAGGAAAAUAGCUUGGGCGAAAUGAGAAUUCCUAUGUCAAUUCAAAUCAGAUGGAAGAUUAGGAAUUAAGGAUGUAAACUUUUUUAAUAUGGCUCUUAUUGGGAAAUGAAAAUGGAGACUUGGUUGUGAAAAGUCAAGACUUUGGAAAUAGGUAUUGGAAUCUAAAUAUGGUUCUUGGAGAGGGUUGGAUGUUAGUGUUGUGUCAAAUACUGAAUCUUGGUGGUGGAGAGAUAUCAAGAAGGUGUGUGGAGGAAACUCAAAUUCAUUAUUUGAUAAUUAGAGAAGGUGGAAGGUAGGUGUAGGGAGUACGUAAUAUUCUAUUUUGGACAGAUUGUUGGGCAGGGAACAAUAAUCUUAAAAAUAUAUAUCCUAGAUUUUUUUUUCAAAUUCAGUACUUAAAAAGGGUUUUGUAGAUAAAUAUGGGGUAUGACAUGAGAACUAGUGGGUAUGGCAAAUAGAAUGGAGAAGAGAGUGAUUUUUAUGAGAAAUUGAAAUUAUAAAUGCCUUUAUGGAUGAAUUGAAGGUUGUUAAAAUAGAUGCUUGUUUAAAUGAUGAGUAGAUGUGGCUAGGUGAUAUCUCAAAUUCUUUUGCACCAAAAUAUAUUGCAGCCACAUCUAUUUUCUGCAUUUAACUUUGAUUCUUUCGAGAGUUUAAAAGCUCUUCCAUCAACACAAUAUUUUUUCUGACGUGUUUUAACUGGUAAAAUUGCAACCUAUGAUAAUUUAAUACAUAGAGGAAUUCAGGUUGGAGGGAGAUGUAUGUCAUGUGUGGGUCUGAGCUUGAACAGUAAAUCAUCUUUUCUUCACAUGUAAAGUGACUUCUAAAGUGUUGUAUAUGUAUGAUGUUUGGGCUGGUAGAGUCUUUGUACAUUUUGAACAAAUAGGUUUUACAGAUCUAAACUACUUGGGAAAUUAUGUCUGGAGAUGUAUGUGGAUUGCCAUUAUGUAGGGAAUUUGGAAUCAUAGGAAUAGGAUAAUUUUAAUAAUGCAGUGGUGGAUCCUGUUGAAAUUUUUGCUAAGGCCAAAGUAAAGGCAUGGGCAUGGGUAACCUAUAAAUUCCCAAAGUCAAUUUUUUCUUAUUCUGAUAGGUGUAUUAAUGUAUAUGAAUGUUUAAAAUCACUACAUUGAUCGUUAACGUCUUUUCUAUACUUUUUGGUUGGUUUUUGUUUUGGAUGAGAGCACAUCCCUUUGGGUACAACUAUAGCCACAACUGAUGCGUGGGAAGCUGUAGUAGAUAGCAAGGAAGAAUUUUUUUUCCUUAGAGUUGCCAUGUUUUAUAUCUUGGAAUUGAGCUAAGUUGUUGUGUAUUUUUUAUAGAUGUAGUAUGAUGUAUAUGUGUUGGGUUUUUGUUAGAGGUUUAAGCUUACCAACUUUAUAUGUGCAGAAUAUGGCUAAACUUUGGCCAUUUUACUCUGACAACCUCACUUCUCUAGCUUUGAGGAAUUUUGUACAUGGGGGUUGGAGUACCCCUAGAACUCACAUUUUUUUUUUAUAUAUUUUUACUGCUGAUAAUAAUAUAAAUAAUAAUAAUAAUAAUAGGUUUAAUAAAAAUAAUAUUAAAUAAUCAAUAACAACAUAUAAAGGUGAUUCUUUUUUUUUGUGUACACAUUUUGUUUUUCAAUUUUAUUCUUUAAAAUAUUUCAUUUUCCAAUUGAAAAUUUGAAUUUUAAAUUUUUUUGAAAAUUUUGAAUUUUGAAAAAAAAAAUAAAGAAUACAAUUUCUUAUAAUUUUAUCCAUUAAAUAACUAUUUUUUUUAAAAUUCAAAUAAUUUUUCUCAAUAAAAAACAACCUACACAAUAAAAAAUUAAAUACAAAAUAUCAAAAUUUAUUAUUUUUAUAAUAAUUUUUAAUAAAAAUAUUUAUAAUUUAAUAAUAUAUUGAUACCAAUUUAGAAACUAUUUUUUUUAUCAUCAAAAAAUUAAUUAAUUGAAGAAAACACUUCAGGAGUGUUCUAAUCCUAACCAUCUUACUAUUAAACCCAGAAACAUAAAAAUCUUAGACAUAAUUUAGAAACUAUUUAUCAAUAAUACAAAUUAAUUUAGAAAUCAAUAAGUUUUUUUAGUUUUAAAAUAGGGUUUAAUCAAUAUAUAAAAAUUAAUUAUUUUUUCUUUGUAAAAUUAGUUUUUAUUUAAUGAUUUUGUAAUAGUGAUUUAAAUAGUAUUUUUUUAAAAUAAAAUAUUUUAUUUAUUUAAUAAAAUAAAUAAUUGAAUAAUUAUUUUUAUUAUAAAAUAAUUAAAUAUCCUCUUUUUAGAAAUAACUGUUAUAUAUAUAUAUAUAAUAUUUUUUACCUUUUAAUAUAUAUAAUUUAUCUUUUUAAAAAAAAAAUACUCAAUUGUUGUUAUAAUUUAAUAAAUAAAUUUAUUAAGAAAAAUUUUACUCCUUAUUAAAAAUUGUAGGUAAAAUUACAAACGAUCUUAUCAAUGGAUUUUUGAACAUUUCUUUUCCGUUAGUAAUUUCAAUUACGCUAUGAUAAUCAUGUGCUAGGAAGAAGAUUCAUAGCUAUAGUUGGGCAUCACAUUGUGUGUUGUGAUUGACGUGUAUACAGUGUAAUCUGAGUGACAAGGUUGCAUGGUGGGAAGAGUUGACGGUUUUCAAAAGUACACGCCAAAAUAUGGCGUGGCGUUGCUGUGGUGACUUUAAUGUUGUCAGGAGUGUAGAAGAAAGGAAAGGAGUUAGAGGAAGUGCUAACCAAAAGAAGGAGAUCAGUGGCUUCAAUAAUUUCAGUGAUAAGAAUCUGUUGGUGGAUUUACCUAUUGUAGGUAAGAAGUAUACAUGGUACAAAGUAAAUGGUUCAGCUAAAAGUAGGUUGAAUAAUGCACUUGUCUUUGAAGAGUGGCUUCAAAUGUGGCCAACGACCAAACAAUACGUACAACCGAGGGAGGUAUCAGACCUUUUUGCGUUAGUACUGAAAUCUUAAGUCAAAGAUUGGGACUAAAACCUUUCAAAUAUAUAGAUGCAUGGCUAUUGAAACUUGGGUUCAAGGAGUUGGUGAAGGGUAAGUGCAGGGCAAUAGUACCUCCAAAUUGAAAGACAAAUUGAAGCUCCUAAAGGGUGACCUCAAAGGGUCGAACUGGAGUAUGUUCGAGAACUUGGAUGUGAAUAAGAAGAGGAUUAUGAAGGAAAUCGAAUGUAUAGACGUCAAGGAUGCCAACAAUGAUCUUGAGGAGAGUGACAAACUGAGAAGAUUUGAGUUGUUAGUCAGCAGAGGUUGUUAGAUAAAAAACUUGAAUCCCUUUUCAAGCAAAAAGUCAGAGCAAACUGGUUUAAGCAUGGGGACUCUAACUCCAAAUACUACCACUCUGUAAUUCAGUGGAGAAGGUUUAGAAAUGAAGUCAAAGGUGUUGAGGUAGAUAACCAAUGGUGUGAGGAAUCGAAAGUUCUCCGCGGGGAAGCAAAAAGAGUGUUUGAACAAAGGUUCAUGACUACAUCCGAUGUUGGUGUUAGUCUUUGUUUCGUUUAGUUCAAGUCUCUCCCUGGGGAGGUUAGUUUAAGAUUGGUAGCUGACUUUAUUGAGGAUGAAGUGAAAGAAGUAGUGUGGCAGUGUGAGGGAUCAAAGAGCCCGAGCCCGAACAGGUUUAACUUUAAUUUUAUCAAGAGUGAUUGGGAUACCUUCAAGAAGGAUAUUGUGGAAGUUGUCCAUUUUUUUUUCAAAAAUCGGGGUGCAUUCUGAAGGGGUGUAAUGCCUCAUUUAUUGCAUUAGUUCCAAAAGUGAAAGAUCCCAAUACACUUGACCAAUUCAGGCCCAUAUCUUUAGUGGGAGCUAUAUAUAAGAUCAUUACUAAGGUCUGAUCGUGUCAUAUUAAGGAAGUACUCCCUUUGGUUAUUGAUGAAAAUCAAUCAGCCUUCUUGAAGGAUAGAAUAAUGUUACACAGUGUUCUUAUGGCCAACGAGGUGGUUGAGAAGGUAAGGAGAAGUCCGAGGAGUGGGUUGUGUUUGAAGGUGGAUUAUGAAAAAACCUAUGACUCAGUUAGGUGGAAAUUCUUGUUGGAUAUGUUACAGAGGUUGGGGUUCCAUAACAAAUGGAUAAAGUGGGUCAAAAGAUGUCUGGAGUCGGCCUCAGUGUUAGUUUCGGUUAAUGGUAGCCCUACGGAGGAAUUUAAACCAUCUAGGGGGUUGAGGCAGGGAGACCCCUUGGCACCGUUUUUGUUCCUUGUUGUAGGUGAAGGCUUGGCUAGAUUAGUAAGAAAGCUGUAAAGGAGAAUGUGCUUAAAGGAGUGAAGGUGGGGAGGACUGAGACUGAAUGUUGCAUGUUACAAUUCGCUAAUGACACAUUGUUUCUGUGUGAAGAUUCCUACUCCAACAUUUUCACAAUUAAGGUGAUUUUAAGGUGUUACGAGCUAGCUUCAGGUCUUAAAAUCAACUUCCACAAAUUGAAGUUGGCAGGUAUUAGAGUGGAGAGGAAUUCUCUUGAGACUUAUGCAAAAACUCUUAAUUGUAAUGUUAUGCAAAUUCCAUUUAAAUACCUGGGGUUAGAACUAGGAGGGAACCCAAGGAGAAAACAGUUUUGGGAGCCAAUUGUUGAUAAAAUUAAAGCUAGACUUAGCACAUGGAAGGGAAGAUGUUUGUCGUUAGCAGGUAGAGUAUGCUUAAUAAAAUCGGUCUUUACUGCCAUACCCCUUUUCUACCUGUCGUUCUUUAAAGCUCUGACAUUGAUAUGUAAAAAAAUCUCUAGCAUCCAAAGGAGAUUCCUCUAGGAUUGGGAAAGUGAUCACAAAAGUAUUUCUUGGGUUAGAUGGAAGAAUGUAUGUAAGCCCAUGGAAGAAGGAGGAUUGAGGAUCAAAGAUAUAAGAAAAUUCAAUAAUGCUCUUUUGGCAAAAUGGAAAUGGAGGUUGUUGAGCGAGGAAAAAGGAAAAUGGAAAGACAUUCUUGAAUCUAAAUAUUACUCUGGAACAAGAAGAAAUCAAACUUAUACAAACUACCAAUCCUGGUAGUGUUAAGAUUUACCUAACAUAUGUGGUGAGGGAGAAGGAGAUGGAUGGUUCCAAGAUAACAUAGCUUGGAAAGUUGACUCUAGGGAUAAAGUAAGAUUUUGGGAGGAUGCUUGGGUUGACAAUUGUAGGGAUAUUGUGAAGGAUACCAAAAUUUUUAGGUGGAAAACCCCUUUAAAUAGAGGUAAAAAACCACCGGCGAGAGAGUCAAAACUUCCACUAUAAUGGUACUGGGAGUACAAUGAAUUCCUCUCAAACAAAUUCUCUCUAUAUGGGUUAAACACUUACACCCAAGAGCAGAAAUAGAGAGUAUAGGAAAAUGAGAGAGGAAGCAAGUGUGUGUUGCUAUUUGUUGUGUGUUACAUUGCUUGAAGGAAGCCACUAUAUAGAGUGGUUCUAGGAGACAACAAUAAUAAAUACAAUUAAUGGUAAUUAACCUCCCUUUGAUUGCAAUUGAUUGUGGCAAUUAACCUCCCAUUGAUUGCAAUUGAUUGUGGCAAGUAACCUCCCAAUUAUGACAAGAAAACGAAAGGUGAGUCAUAACCCACAAAUCUCCACCUUGACUUGCCUUUGACUGGAACACUCUCUCGCCAUGAAGCCUUGAUUAAGUAUGGAUAAUACCAGCUAAGUUCAGGCAAUGAUCGAACUUAGCCGAUGGAAGUGGCUUGGUCAACAUGUCUGCAGGNNNNNNNNNNNNNNNNNNNNNNNNNNNNNNNNNNNNNNNNNNNNNNNNNNNNNNNNNNNNNNNNNNNNNNNNNNNNNNNNNNNNNNNNNNNNNNNNNNNNUUUCAAUGUGCUUGGUCCUUGAGUGAUACUUACUGUUCCUGGUUAAGUGGACAACACUCUGACUAUCACAAAAUAUAACAAGAACAUCUUGUUGAAGACCAAGUUCACUUACCAAGCCUCGAAGCCAUAUAGCCUCUUUCAUACCUUCUGUAGCAACAAUAUAUUCUGCUUCAGUGGUGGACAAAACCGCAAUGGCUUUAAGUGAAGAAUACUAACUGAUAGCAGACCCACAUAGGGUAAAAAGAUAGGCUGAAAGUGACCUUCUCCGAUCUAAAUCACCACCAUAGUCAACAUCAACAUAGCCAACUACUCCUCUAGGAUCGGCUCUAUGUUGAUCAAAUACCAAACCAAGAUCUGGAGAACCUUUCAGAUAANNNNNNNNNNNNNNNNNNNNNNNNNNNNNNNNNNNNNNNNNNNNNNNNNNNNNNNNNNNNNNNNNNNNNNNNNNNNNNNNNNNNNNNNNNNNNNNNNNNNUUCCCAGUGUGCCUUGCUUGGAUUAUGCAUGAACCUGCUAACAAUGCUAACAGCAUAAGCUAAAUCAGGUCUAGUACAUACCAUAGCAUACAUGAGACUUCCAAUUGCAUUUGAAUACAGGACAUGUGACAUGCGCCUUUUGUCCUCGUCUGAUUUUGGACACUGAUCUGAUGACAACUUGAAGUGGGCGGCAAUUGGAGUAUUAACAACUUUGCAAUCUCGCAUUCCAAAUUUGUUAAGCAUCUUAAGAACAUACUUAUUUUGUGAUAGAAAAAGUUUUCCAACUUGACGAUCUUUGUUGAUCUCCAUUCCUAAAAUUUUCUUAACAGGACCUAAGUCCUUCAUAUCAAAUUCACUACUAAGCUGAGCCUUUAACUUGUUAACUAAAAAUUUAUCUCUUGCAGCAAUCAACAUGUCAUUAACAUAUAACAACAAGUAUAUAAAUGACCCAUCAUAUGUCUUUUGAAAAUAGACACAAUUAUCAUAGCUACUUCUGGAGUAGCCAUGUCCAACCAUGAAAGAAUCAAACCUCUUAUACCAUUGUCUUGGUGAUUGCUUCAAGCCGUAGAGAGAUUUCUUCAAACGACAUACAUGGUCCUCCUUUCCAGGAAUAACGAAGCCCUCAGGCUGCUGGAUGUAAAUCUCUUCCUCAAGAUUACCAUGAAGAAAAGCAGUUUUCACAUCUAACUGUUCCAGCUCCAAAUCAUACAAGGCAACUAAAGCAAGUAAUAUACGUAUUGAAGUAUGACGAACAACAGGAGAAAAUACUUCAUUAAAGUCAAUAUCUUUCUCUUGAUCAAAACCUCUUACAACAAAUCUUGCUUUAUUCCUUGUACUCUCAACACCAGGGAUCCCUUCUUUUCUCUUAAGAUCCACUUGCAACUAAUGACUCGUUUUCCUUCUGGUAACUUCACCAAUUCCCAUGUUUUUUUUUAGAAGACUCUCAACUUCUUCUUGCAUAGCAGCAAUCCACUUUGUUGAGUCAUCACCAGAGAUAGCUUCAGAGUAAUUAUUGGGUUCACCUUCUUCACCCAUCUCUUGUGCAAUAGUUAAAGCAUAAGCAAUGUUGGCAGAUUCUGCAAUUAAUCUUUGAGUCGGUUUUCUUGGUCUCUGUUGUGGAAGUUCUUGAGCCAUAGACCACAGUUGUGGUAACCCUCGUCGUUGAGGUGGACAUUGCUCAUGUGGAGUCACAUGUUCAUUUGUACCAUUAAUAAGAGUGACUUGAUCACCUUGAGUACUGGAGGAAUUAGGAACGUCUUCCUCAUGAGUGGGUGUUUUAAUCUCAAACUCCACCUUCUCUCGAGCAUCUUCCUGGUCACCUGUAUCAAUUGAGGAAAUGACAAUAUCUUUUACAGAAGAGAGCAUAGCAUUUUCAUUAAAGGUCACAUUCCGACUGUGAAUUACUUUGUGAGAUUCUGGGUCAUAUAAACGAUAACCUUUAACCCCUAAGCCAUAACCCAAGAAAAUGCACUUCUUAGCACGAGGUUCUAAUUUUCCCUCGUUUACAUGAGAAUAAGUAGGGCAACAAAAUAUUUUAAGAUUAGAAUAAUCAACAAGGUUACCUGACCAAACUUCUUCUGGAAUGUUGCAAUCAAUUGAUCUGUUAGGAGAGCGGUUUAUCAGAUAACUUGUCGUUGAAGCCGCUUCAGCCCAAAAAGAUUUGCUCAAACCAGAAUGGGAGAACAUGCAACGAACUCUCUCCAGGAUAGUUCUAUUCAUUCUUUCUGCAACCCCGUUUUGAUGUGGAGUCUUUGGGAUGGUGAAGUGUCUGGAAAUGCCUUCCUUCUUGCUGAAAUCAUUGAAUUCAUUCGAACAGAACUCAAGGCCAUUGUCUGUCCUUAGCCUCUUUAUCUUCUUGCCAGUUUGAUUCUCAAUCAAUAAUUUCCACUCUUUAAAAGUGGAAAAUGCUUCAUUCUUAUGUUUGAGAAAAUACACCCACAGUUUUCAUGAGAAAUCAACAAUAAUUGUCAUCAUAUAACGACAUUUACCUCUGGAGGGAACUUUUGACGGACCCCAAAGAUCUGAAUGAAUAUAAUCCAAAGUACCUUUGGUUCUGUGUAUGGCUUUAGAAAAACUAACCUUUUUCUGCUUACCAAAAAUGAAAUGUUCACAGAAAUCAACCUUUCCAGUACAGUGGUUACCAAGGUGACCCUUCUUCUUGAGGAUUAGAAUUCCCUUCUCACUCAUGUGGCCUAAUCUCAUAUGCCACAACUUGGUGUUAUCUUUAUUGGGUGAGGCAACAACUGCAGAACCUGUAACUGUUGAACCCUGCAGCACAUACAAACUAUCACAUUGAAUUGCCUUUAGUAACACAAGAGCUCCUUUAGACACUUNNNNNNNNNNNNNNNNNNNNNNNNNNNNNNNNNNNNNNNNNNNNNNNNNNNNNNNNNNNNNNNNNNNNNNNNNNNNNNNNNNNNNNNNNNNNNNNNNNNNNNNNNNNNNNNNNNNNNNNNNNNNNNNNNNNNNNNNNNNNNUUCCUUCACCAACAACUUUGCAUUGAGCAUCAUUUCCCAUCAAAACAAGACCAUCAUAAACUGGUUCAUAUGUGGUAAACCAAUCUCUAUUGUGAGACAUGUGAAAAGUACAACCAGAAUCAAGAAUCCAUUCAUUUUUAGACCUUUGUUCAGUGUUGGAAGCUACAAAACAAUCCCCAUCAGAUUCAGUUUCAACAAUACUAGCUUCGGCAAAUUUUUCUGGUUGUUUACCAUUUCCCUUAUCUUCUUUAUCUUGCAUAUUUUUCAAUUUAUAACAUUCAAGGAUCUCAUGUCCCUUUUUCUUGCAAUAACGACAAUAUUUGGAGUUCUUGCCUCUAGAUUUUGACCUAGAUUUAUGUUUAGUGUUCCUACCUUUCUCUUGGUUUCUUCCUCUAACUACUAAUCCUUCACCAGAACUUUCAGAAUGAAUUUGAGUAUCAAAUUUUUCUUUGACUAGUAAAUUAGUCUUGACAUCAUCAAAGCUUAAGGUAAGAUAAUUACCGUAUAACAUAAUUUCUUUUGAAUUGUCGAUGCGAGGGUGGUAGAGAAACAAUAAGUAGAAUGGCUUUAUCCUCAUCAUCAAUUUUAACAUCCAAAUUUUCCAAAUCAAUUAUGAUGGAAUUAAAUUCAUCAAGGUGAGAUUGGAUGGGAGUACCUUCGGACAUUCAGAGUGUAAGGAGUCGCUCCUUUAACCGGAGUUUGUUUGCAAGACUUUUGGUCAUGUAUAGAGACUCCAAUUUACUCCAUAUGCGUGCUGUAGUUUUCUCGUUGAUGACCUCACGCAACACCUCAUGGGACAAGCAUAACUGGAUUGCAGACAAUGCCUUUUCAUCCAUCUCAUUCCACUGCUCCUCCGUUAUAGUGGUUGGUCUCAUCAUUUUACCUGUCAAAACAUUCUUUAAACCAUUCUGGGUGAGAACAGUUAGCAUCUGGACUCGCUAGAUAGCAAAGCUGAUUUUACCAUCAAAUUUCUCAAUAUCCAAUUUUGACAUUAUUGAACAACAGAUCCUGGUUGAAUUAUCGAAAAAUUUUGAUGCCAAUUUGUAGGGAUAUUGUGUGCGGAAGGGUAAUAAUUUCAACCAAAGAUUAUGAGAAAUUAAAGUAAGAAGUAAAGUGAGAAUAAUACCAGAAUUUUUAGGUGGAAAACCCCUUUAAAUAGAGGUAAAAAACCACCGGCGAGAGAGUCAAAACUUCCACUAUAAUGGUACUGGGAGUACAAUGAAUUCCUCCCAAACAAAUUCUCUCUAUAUGGGUUAAACACUUACACCCAAGAGCAGAAAUAGAGAGUAUAGGAAAAAGAGAGAGGAAGCAAGUGUGUGUUGCUAUUUGUUGUGUGUUACAUUGCUUGAAGGAAGCCACUAAAUAUAGUGGUUCUAGGAGACAACAAUAAUAAAUACAAUUAAUGGUAAUUAACUUCCCUUUGAUUGCAAUUGAUUGUGGCAAUUAACCUCCCAUUGAUUGCAAUUGAUGGUGACAAAUAACCUCCCAAUUAUGACAAGAAAACGGAAAGGUGAGUCAUAACCCACAACAACAACAAACUUAUAUCCUUGUAUCAUGGGUUAUAUUUCUUGUCCCUAGAUCACGGUGAGUGAGGUAUGUUCUUGGGGGGAUUCAGGAUGGCUUUGGCAGUUAAGGUGGAGAAGUGUAAGGUAUGAUGGGGAAUCCAUUAUGGAGGAAGAAAUGCUUAAUUUUAUUACUAUAGGAGGUAUGCAUAAGGAAAUCAAAGAUCAUAUGGUAUGGAAAUGGGAUACCAUAGGAAUCUUCUCUGUGAAAUCUGCCUAUAUGAGUUUCAACAAUCAAUCCAUUGGUUACUCGAAUGACGUGUUUACCCUUUAAUGGCAAGCAAAAGCGAUGUCUAAAGCUUUAAUUACCGUGUGGAGGAUUCUGCUUGACAGAUUGCCAACCAGUAAUAACCUCGUCAUGAGGGGUGUGAGUGUUAUCUCUUCAGUAUGUGUGCUUUGUAAAGAGGCGGAAGAAUCAUCCCAACAUUUGUUUCUUGAAUGUGCAUAUGUACAACAAGUUUAGUCUCUUUGUUUUAGAUGGAUUGACAUUCUGUUUGUCGAACACAAGGACCUAAAAUAUCACUUUGAGCAUUUUCACUUAGUACAUAUGUCCAUCAAACAAAAUUAGGUAUGGAAGGAAAUGUGAGUAGCCAUUAUUCAGUGUAUUUGGAAACACAGGUAUCUUCCUUUAAUUUCUCUUUCUCGGAUUGGCUUUUGAACUCUGGCCUAUGCUUUCAAAGUUGCUGAAGUAGAGGUUGAGGUUCGUUUUAGCUACUGUAUGGUCAGAUAAUGUGUGGGUAGUUUCUUCGAAAAUGCAGGGGCUGACGUGGAGAAAAUGAUGAAGUAUCAUAGGAAAAGGGUGUCAACUUGAUGGUGUAUCUGGAGGGGAGGUUCGCUGGAGUAGCAGACUUUUGUUUACAGAAUCAAACCUUUACAAUGGUGUUCAGUCUUAAGGAAUGGAGAGGGAAGAUGAUUCUGGAGUGGUUGAUCUUUAAAGGAAUCCUUGGUGCUGAAUGCGUGGGUUUUAUUGCCGCAGCUAAUCAGGUUUGGGAUUUGCAACCUCAUUCGGUUCUGAGUGAUGAGGCUAGGUGCUUAUAUCUUGGUAGCUGCUGCGUGUGCCUGUUUUUUCCUCUAGCUGCUGCCUUGUAGAGAGUCUAGAGGUGUGAUAUCUGUGACAGGUGGAAGUGUAAUUAUGCAGCUCUGUUAUGUACCAGUUUGGUGUUGUAGUGCUUGGUAUGGAGGAGUUGGUCUAGCAUAGUGCUUCUUGAUGGGUUAAGAAACCGUGUAGGAGGUUGACUAGUGUUGUGUGGUGUUUCUAGUUAAGUUGGAGUGAGACAUGGUGUGUUGCUGAUAGGAAAGGAAGUGCAGCCUAGAAGUCUGCUUUGGUCCUAUGAUCUUGUUUUUUCUGGUUACAUUAUCAAAGCAUUUGGUAUCAUUUAUUUGUUUGAAGCCACAACAUUUAUGCUGAAGCGACCUUUUUGUAAGACAAGUGUUGUGAAUGGAAAAAAAUUAACUGUGACAAAGCGAACCUCCUUUAUAGAAGAAUCCGAAAAAGUAUAAAAAAAAGCAACACCAUUAUUGAAAUCAUUGAAUAAAACAAAGAACAAGAGAAUUAGAUUCCACCCAAAUUAAGUGUAAGGUUUACAUUUCCCUUGAUGUGAGUGAGCAAAGAAUCUUUAGUUUGUGUAUUUAUACAAAGCCUUAGAAACCCAAUAAUAAUGCAGUGGAGAAGCAUUUGAUUAUUAGUUCAGGUGAAGUGGUCAAACAGAGAUAUAAUAUAAUAUUUUGUCUUUAGGUUCAUCAGAUCCUAGUAAUAAUAAUCCAUUUACAUCAUUGAGUUGCAGUUGCAGAUAUAUAUGCAUGUUUCCACCUAUUUCUUCAUAGAUUUUCAGUUUUCAUUCCAGUUCUGUUCAUUAACCAUUUCAUUACAUUUUUUGUUAUGUAUAUGGUUUUAACUGCCAUGCAUGCAUCUAUACUCAUAAGAUGCAUAUAAGUUUAUAUAUAUGGCAUGAUAUGUGAUGCAUGAUGCAUCUUAUAACCUCUUGGUUUGUUGGAGUAAACUUGUUGAUGUCUUUUAGGUUUUCUCAAAUAUAUAGCUCUCUAACCCUAUAUAUAUAUUUAUGCAGGUUUUUCACUUUUGGCUCCUUUCCCACUCUCCAAUAAUGGAAGACUCUCCAGUAAUAGAAGAAUGGUUCCCCGUAACGUUCAAAGCCACUGAACCCAAUUGGAUCCAAACGGAACCCAAAUGGAACCAAAGCUUAGCAAAUAAACGCAUGGAAGUGAAGAAGUCGCAUACAGAGAUAUACGAACCUGACCAAACCAAAAUUAAAGGGAAAGAAGAAAAGAAGAAAGGGAAUGUUUUUUCAACUUUUUUCUGAAAGGAGAUGAACAAGCCAAGUAAUCAAUUUGCCUAAAAGUGAUGAAACUUCUAGUGUAUGAAACCACAAAUAAAUAUGUACUGUUUCAGGAAUAAAACUACUUUCAAUUCUAACAUAAAUAUGCACUAGCUCGAAGUUCAACACACUAAUUUUUAAAAUAAAAAUACUUUUGAAUUUAGCUAAUCUCUUCGACUUAUUAAUGUUGGGAGCAAUCUAUAAGAGGUUGGAAGCAAUCUAUAAGAGGUAGGACUCGAACUCAAAUCCUUUUGGAGAUCAAGAAAACAUUAAUCACUAGAUCAGGCAAAAUCUUUAGUCAUAUUAUAUUUUUAUCAUACUUAUUAUUAAUAAUAUAAUUUAUACAUAUUAUUAUUAUUAAUAAUAAUUAUAUUAAUAAUAAUAAUAUAAAUUAUAUUCAUAUUAUUAAUAAUAAGUAUAAUAAAAAUCAUAAAAUACUAAAGAAUUUGUUUGGGGUAGUGGUUAAAUUUUCUUUGGUCCCUACAUACGAAUUAUAUUCGUAUGUAAUACCUGUUUACAUACGGAAUAGAAUCUUGUACCGCCCUGGUGGUCGGGUGUGAUGACGUGGCAUCCUCCUACAGUAUAAGCGUGUUGACAAGGCGCCAGGCUGGCAGAAGGGAAGGAAGUCGGGGGGCACGUGUGGUCGCCGGUUGUUAAGUUGGCGUGUUCCGAUUUCCAGAUUACCAGAAUAGGCGAUCGCCAGUUGAAGAUGAAGUCGCCCGAUGUAGAUUCAGGCGACCUAGUCAUUGGAGAUCGCCAGAGAAAGCACAUCGCCGGAGAUGAAGGAGAAGCAGAUUGUGAAGGCGGCCGGCGAGACCACAGGGAAGGUGUAUGGAGGCCCUAAACUCGCCAGUUCCAGCAGAGAUCGCACUCCCAAGUUAGCUAUGCACUGGGCAGUACCAUGCAUAAGUAACUUAGCCAAAAUGAGAGUAGAAGCAGCGCCAAGUCAAGGAGCCUCCAGAUGAUGGCACGUGUACAGUUGGAUGCGAGCCACGUGUCCAAGUCUGUAACUGCCAGGAGAGAGAAAGCCACCAGGUAUAUAAGAGUUCUUAACAAACUUUCUAAGGUACGCACGUUCAGUUCAUACACUUUACGCUUGCGAGUGAUAGAGCUGAUUGUGAGAGAGGAUUUGCACGGUUCUUGUUCUUAGUAUUUGGUGAUACCGUCACUGACUUGAGCGUCGGAGUGCGAUCGGCCGCAGCGGCGCCGUGUUGUUUCUUUGCAGGUUCUUGAAGUAGAUCCCGGAAAGGAACGGAGGAGAGAAGCGGUGCGCACGUCGAUCCUUUGACGAGGCAUUCUCCAGCGUUCCGGUCAAUAGGAAGGAACUGUUUGGGGUAGUGGUUAAAUUUUCUUUGGUCCCUACAUACGGAUUAUAUUCGUAUGUAAUACCUGUUUACAUACGGAAUAGAAUCUGUAUGUAAAAAUCCGUAUGUAAUGUUGAUUUUACAUAGGGAUUUUGAUCCCUAUAUAAUUCGCGUUUUUCUUGUAGUGACAUCUGAGAGAGCCUUUUGCGAAUCAAGUUUUUGUGAGAAUAUUUUUUUUAAAGAUCAUUGAGGUUUCUUGGGGCAAAAUUUUCAUCAUCUUGUGGAGCUAAUUUCACUGCUAUUGUAGAAUUAAGAGCUUCAAUUGUGUUUCUUGUGUUACAAUUCAGAUUAAUUUGUUCAAUUUUUUAAUUAGUUUUGGAGGAUUAAGGCAUUGCCUUCUGCUCAUGUUACUGCUUGAAGGGUGUUGAAAAAUAAGAUUGUCACUAAGGUUAAUUUACUUAGACGUGGGAUUGCGGUCGAAAGCGCUCUUUGUUGUUUUUGUGGUGUAAAAGAUGAAGAGAUUAAUCAUCUGUUUUUUUAUUGUAGAAUAGCAUGGUUGGUGUGGAACCUCUGUUAUGAGUGGUUAAGCAUUUUGUUGGUUGCCCCCUGUUGUUCUUACUCUCAUUUUUUGCAGUUCAGGUUGUGCAAUGCUCUUGAGUUGGUCAAUUUAGGGGAUGGGGAGUAUUUGGAUUGCGGUGGUUAGUGAGAUUUGGAGUCAUAGGAACAAGAAUUUAUUCAAAGAUGGAGAAAGGUGGAGUGUUGGACUACUCUGAGAUCUUUUCUUUAGCUCAAUUGAAUAUUUGGUCUUGGAUUACUUCUAAAUUCUCCACUGCUUGUUUCUCUUAUUCUGAUUGGUGUCUUGUUCCUCUGGAUUGUUUUGUUUCGCUUUAACUUGUUUUGUGAUUUUGGUUUUUAGCAGGGCUAGUUUUGAGUUGUUGGUUGGAAGGUGUGUGUUGUAAGAAUGUCUCAAGUUUUUUGUAUAUGGGUUGGAUCACCCUUAAAGUAUAUAUUGUUUAUUACUGAUAAAAAAAACUGUGUUGUAUUUUUGUAUUGAUUGUUAGCCAAGAUAAGAUUUCUUGGUGGAUAGUUCUGCUGUAACAUUGUAGUGUUUGUUUUACUUUUUGUAGUAUUCAAGAACAGUUUGGUGUAUUUUCUUAUAAUGAAUUUUAUUUUUAGUGAUGAAAAUCACCUUGGUGUGAUGUGAAACUAUAUUAGCUCUCUAUAUGAAUGAACCAACAUAAAAUUCUUGGUGUUUUUUUUGUAUCUGUCAUAUUAGUUGUAAAAUUAUUUUUCUUUGUAUUGUUAUAUUUGAUUGUGCUUGUUUGUUUUGUGUGUAGGAUUUUUUUUUGAAAAAAUUUCAUUAGUUUUCCAGUUUUAACAAGUUUAAAUUUUUUUUAACAUUAUGUAUUGACUAAAAAAUCUAAUGUGUUAAUAUACAACGUAAUCCGUUGAAAUUAAUUUUUGUAAAUUGAUGUUUUAUUAAAUAGAUUUAAAACUUCUAACUGUUAAUCUUCUUUAAACUUUAAUUUGUAGUUUUCUAGAUUCUAUUAAAAAAUUGACAUGACACUGAAUUUGAAUUAAACAAAUUAUUGCUGAAAUAUUUUAAGCCAAUUCACCCUCCUCUUGAACUUAUUUUCUCCCUAUGUCAAAAAUUUCUUCCAAACCUACUAUUAUGCACAAUUCCCCUUCUCAUACUGCUUAUAUUGGUAUACACAAUAUAAUAUCACAUGAUCAUUCCUAUGUUAGUUCCUUAUCUUUUUCUAUAGAUGAUUAUCAUUCUCCUAGUACAAAAUUGAUACAAACGUUCAUCCUAUACUUACUCGUGCCAAAGCUAGAAUCUUCAAACCCCAAGUUUUUCAUACCUCUACUUUAGUUGAUCCUUUUUAGCCUACCAUAUAUAAACAAGCUAUGGUGCAACUUGAGUGGCUCCAAGCUAUGCGAUUUGAAUAUUAAGCUCUUUGUCGCACAUUUAGUUAGAUGCAAAUGGGUUUUCAUGCACAAACUCAAUGGUGAUAAAGCUCUAUUGGUUGUCAAGGGUUUCCAUCAAACUGAAGGUCGUGAUUACAUUAAUAUGUUUACUCCCGUUAUUGAUGACUGUUUUACAGCAAGUGUACCGAGUCAAAAGUAAUUAUUUAUCCCUAAUGACGAAUAUUGAACCCACAAAGAACAAUUAUUUAGAAUUCUAAUCGUAGAAUUCAUUAAGUAUAAGAAUAUAUAUACAAUAAUUUGAUUUGAAAAAUAUUGACAUAAAUUUGAAUGAAAUUAAAUGAAAACAAAAUAAAUGGGUAAAAUAAUUCAAUUAAGAAAAUUUGGAUUGGGGUUAAUCCUUCUCAUUCGUCUGCAUUUUUAAUAAAUAGAAACAUAUAACAUUCCAUCUUAAUUUCUCGCAUACGAAAUUAUUAAGAUUGUCUCUCCUAAAUAUCGAUUCAUUAUAUAUUUAUAAAAAAAAUCUUAUCAUUAAAAAUAAAUUUUAUAAAGCAAUUAACAUUUCAAAUGUAUUUCUAGCAUUCAAAUAUGUUAAGCAUUAUCAUCUAGAUCAGAUACUCAUAAGUACUUUCCAGUCAAAUCUAAGGAUCAAAAUCAUAAAUAAAGAUUCAAGAUUUGAGAAUAAAAUGAUAAUACCAAUAUAAAUCAAGAACAAAAUUUUAUAAAUAAAUAUCAUCUCAAUACAUAAGAGUUUGAACAAAUUACUUUCAAUCCCAAAGAGAAGAACUAGUCACUCAUAUUGGUCAUUAUCAUGGAAAGCAAGAAAAAAAUAUCCAAGGUGUUUCUCCUUGACAACAACCUUCUCUAGGGUUUCCUUCCUUUGGUUUCCCUCCCAGGUCACACCCUUCUCUUUGCCUUACGCCUUUUAUUUAACCUAAUUGAGCUUGGGCUAAGUGAUAUAUCGCUUAAAUGAGAUAUUACUUGCUUGAGCAAGUUUUACGAGAACAAGCUCAACUUUACUGGAGUGAACUCGCUAAAGCGAGCCUUGGACGAGUUCUUUUGGAGUGAUCUUGUUUAAGAAAGUUUUCAAUGCUCAAACUUUAUCUUUUCAUCUUGUCUUUAACUUGUCCAUUCUCCUUCAACCUUUUUCUCUUCAUCUUCCCCUAGAUUCAUAAGCUCACUCACACUCUUCUUGUUAUGGGCUUUCUUCCUUCUAAAAGUGGUUCUUCUCUGGGAAUUUUACCAAAGUGGUGCAGUUUUUUUUUAGAUUUACGUAAAUGGGCAGAUUCAGAAAAUAUUACAAGAAUGGGCAUUUUUUGGUCAAAGUUGCCAAUGGUGUAGGCAACAUAAAUUAAAUUCAUUAAUCCCUCUACUUUUCUUUUUUUAAGUAAAGUUUUCAACCUGAUUGACAACUUUAGUUUAAAUAAAAUUGAAUACUGGAUUGACAACUUUAGUUUAAAUAAAAUUGAAUACUGGAUUGACAACUUUAAUGUAUUUUAUCUCAAAUGAAAUUUCCAAUUUUGUUGGCAAAUUUAGCUGAUUUUUUAAAAUAAUUAAUAUUUUUUUUAAAAUGAAAGAUGUAUAUAAUAAUAAUUUAAAAAUUAUUUAAAUUUACAUGAAGUGAAUAAAAAUAAGAAUAUUGAGAAAAAAUGUAUUUUUAUAGAUAAUUAAUAUUAAAAAAUUAAACUAAAUUUUGUUUUCACAAAAAACAAAGUUACCUAAAUUUAAGUUGGAUUUAAAAUAGGUUGUGUAAUAAAUGUAAAAUAUUUAGUACUUUUUAAAUAUUAUUAAAAUUAAAAAUAUUUUUGUUGUUUUUAAAAAUCUGAAAUUAUGUUUGUGAAAUAACGUUUAUAGUUGAUAAAAUUACAAAUAAAAAGGGUAGCGUUUAAACAAUAUUUAUAAAAUGAUAUUAUACAUGAUUAGAAAAUAGAAAUAUAGGAAAAGUUGUCAUCUAUGAGAAGCUGUGCCACAUGGUGGUCUUCUUCGUUGUCUUCGUGGUCGUCCUUGUGGUUGUUGUUCGGACCGAAGGGUAGGAGGGGNNNNNNNNNNNNNNNNNNNNNNNNNNNNNNNNNNNNNNNNNNNNNNNNNNNNNNNNNNNNNNNNNNNNNNNNNNNNNNNNNNNNNNNNNNNNNNNNNNNNGCCUUCGAUUUCAUUGUCAUCACUCUGAUUUUCGGACACUUGUGAAGACAUUGUUGGUCGAUAAUACUGCAUAGAUGACAUUGGAUUGUAGGCAGAUAGGGGGGUCAUGGUAGAGGUUGCAAAGGGAUUUGACGGGCCAACAAACAAUUGUUGUUGAGAUUGAAAUGUUGAGUAGUUGAAAGGUGGUUGAUGGAAUGAUGAUUGGAAUGACAUGUGAGAUUGAUCCCUAUAUCCGAACAACUGGGUCGGUUGAACACCUGGUGGACGAAAAGAUUGUUGUUCAAAUGAUUGAACUUGAGAAGAAGACCCGACAUGAUGUUGAUAGUGAGGUUGUGUAGUCUCCUGCGGCAUAUCAUACUGUUUUGAAAAUAUGUGUUAAUUUUGGAUGAGUGAAUGAAGAAUAAUAAAUAAUUUUGUAAUUGAACUUACAUCAUCAUCAGACGAUGACUGUAUAGGCGUGAUGUAGCGGAUAGUAUGGUUGAUGUACCAUUGCAUGUAUGUUGAGUUGUCAUGCAAAUGGCCAUUUCCGUUAAACUGAUUUCCGUGAAUUAGAUGAUUACGACGGUCAUUCCACAUAGCUAUCCAUGCGACAUGAUAUUGUGGUUCCUCCUAUGUGCGUCCUAUGCAUCCUCCGAGUCCACCUAACGUAAGCAAAGAAAUAUUAAGAACUUCGUUUUCUUAUCUCGAAAAUUAAUACAAAAAUAACAUACCUUUUACCGAGUGGGAAACCAAAUCCUUAUUGAACUUCUUCAUCGAUCAAUGGUUGAAGUUGUGGAGAAAAGCAUGUUAGGCGUUCCCAUGCCCAACACUGUAAAAGCAGCGUGCAACCUCCAACAUUAUCUUGAUUAAAGUCUAUUCCAUGAUCGAGCGCACGAUACAGAGAAGCCAAUACAGCUGACCCCCAACUGUAAUUCCUUACGUUGUUCAAGUCAGCCAACAAUAAUAGAUACAUUAAAUGUACCUUACUACCUGAAGAAUCAGGCAUCAAUAGACUCCCAAUAAGUGUUAAUAUGUGGGCUCGAGCAUGUUGAGCAAUAACAUCAUCGGUUGCAUUAUGUGGCAGUUCCUGAAAAGUGUUGUUAAGCCAAGACAACUUAAUUGCAUUUCCUUUUAUCGCUGUUGAGGGUGGUAUAAAUUCGAGCAACUGGUCACAUAAAGAUACUAAAUCACCACAAGUAAUCCCGGUGACAACCUGUCCAUCAAUAGGUAAACCCAAUAUUAAUUCCACAUCUUCCAAAGUAACAGUUGUUUCACCGAGAGGAAAGUGAAAGGUAUGAGUCUCUGUUCUCCAUCUUUCCACUAAUGUUGUAAUUAGUACAUGGUUGAAGUCAAUGUGCUUAAAUUUUAACAAAUGUCCAAAACCAGAAUGAUCAAUUAACCGUUUCACUCGUUGGUCAAGUAUAUCCUCAUGCUUUAGUACCCAACUUGCAUGUCUUCUGGGUCUCAAUAGUCUUUCAUUACCUUCCCAUACGUAUUUGGUAACAUGUUUCUCUUGGAGUCGCAAUAUAGACAUAUUCGCGGGAAGACGAUGAGAUGCUAUAAAAUUCUAAUAAAAUGAUUCCUGAAAAUACAACCAAUUUUUAUAAUACCUUUAUAGAUAAUUCCUAUUAAAAUGAUAUUAUCAAUAAACAUUAAUUUUCUUAAAUUAAAGAUAACGAAAAGAUAUUUACACAUACUAAUUAAAGAGUACCGAGUAUAACAUAUUAUAAAAAUAUUGAUUGAAAGUAAUAUAUUAUGUACAAACAAUAAAAAUAUAAGAAAAAUAAAAUAAAAAUAUAUUUUUUAGCAAUUGUUUGUCAAUAUUUAAUAUCAAUUAAUUAUAUUAACUUGCCUUUUUUUUUAUAAGUUAAUAAUAAUUAAAUUUUAUGUUUUAAAGUAUCAUUUUUAAAUUCCUUUAACAGAGUAUAAGUAUUAAGUAUUAAAUAUUGUUUGUAUGGAUAACUAUUAAUCUUUGUUAGCAUGUGCAUGUGCUUGCUACUACAAUUAAAUAAAUAAUUAAAAUAUUAGAGAGAACUUACCUUUGUGAUUGAAUGCCACCCUUAAGCACUCUGGAACAAUGGCAAAGCUUGAGAGUGUUUUGCAUAGGACACAGACUCUAUUAAAUAGAGUUGCUUGUGUGAGUUUCAAAAAAUGAAAGUUUGAAUUCAAACUUCAUUUUCAAAAGAAUCUCUGCCAUGAAAAAAGAAUCUCUGCCAUGAAAACUAUAGCCAUGACAUAAAGCUGGACACAAAAUAAAGUAUUGCUUGGUGGUGCACGAAAUUGCAAACAAAGUUGCCAACCAUGAAGGCAACUUUUAAUAUAAGUUGCCAAUGGUGAANNNNNNNNNNNNNNNNNNNNNNNNNNNNNNNNNNNNNNNNNNNNNNNNNNNNNNNNNNNNNNNNNNNNNNNNNNNNNNNNNNNNNNNNNNNNNNNNNNNNNNNNNNNNNNNNNNNNNNNNNNNNNNNNNNNNNNNNNNNNNNNNNNNNNNNNNNNNNNNNNNNNNNNNNNNNNNNNNNNNNNNNNNNNNNNNNNNNNNNNNNNNNNNNNNNNNNNNNNNNNNNNNNNNNNNNNNNNNNNNNNNNNNNNNNNNNNNNNNNNNNNNNNNNNNNNNNNNNNNNNNNNNNNNNNNNNNNNNNNNNNNNNNNNNNNNNNNNNNNNNNNNNNNNNNNNNNNNNNNNNNNNNNNNNNNNNNNNNNNNNNNNNNNNNNNNNNNNNNNNNNNNNNNNNNNNNNNNNNNNNNNNNNNNNNNNNNNNNNNNNNNNNNNNNNNNNNNNNNNNNNNNNNNNNNNNNNNNNNNNNNNNNNNNNNNNNNNNNNNNNNNNNNNNNNNNNNNNNNNNNNNNNNNNNNNNNNNNNNNNNNNNNNNUAUUCCGUCUGGCAGUCAAUCCGGACAUAACAUCGAUUGCGAACUCAAUGAACACAUGUCUUUCAUAUCAAAGGAGGCGACAUUGAAUGCCAUAAAACGAUACCACAUAGACAACGGUUACAAAUUUGUUGUCGUGGAAUCAAAGCCAGACAGAUAUGUGGCUCGGUGCAUACAUCAUGAUGUAGGGUGCGAAUGAGAUUACGAGCAUCUUUUAGUAAAAUCCGAAGUCAAUGGGAGAUAAAAAAAAUUGAUGCACAACAUACUUGUUUGUCAAAAAAUCUUACGGCAGACCAUGUUAAUUUGGAUUCAACCCAUAUUGCGUCCAUGGUGCUGACUUCAGUCAAAGCAAACCCUUCUGUCCCAAUUAAAAGCUUAAUUGUAGAAAUAAAAAAUCUGCAUGGCUAUACUAUCAUGUAUAGAUGCUUGGUUGGGAAAACAGAAAGCUCUUGCUUUGACAUUUGGCGAUUGGGAACAUUCCUACAAUGAUCUUCCUAGAUGGUUGGAAGCAGUAAAAGAAAGCAAUCCAGGGACAAUUGUGCAGUAUAUUGCUUCUCCUUGUAUGGUUGAUGGUGUUCAAGACAAUUCGUGUUACACGUUGGAUCGGGUGUUUUGGUCUUUCAAGCCUUGUAUCGAUGGUUUCAAUUUUUGCAAGCCCAUUGUACAAGUUGAUGGGACAUUUCUAAUCGGAAGAUACCAUGGAACAUUGUUGACCGCAACCGCUCAAGAUGGGAAUCGAAACAUAUUUCCAUUGGCGUUUGUGAUUGUUGAAGGCGAGACUCGGGAGGCUUUAAUUUGGUUCUUCCAAUUAUUGCGACAAUAUGUGACACCUCAUUCGAAUUUGUGCAUGAUUACUGAUAGAGGAACCGAUAUAAUUUCAGCAUUACAAUUCGAAGAAGUUGGAUGGGAAGGAGAGGGCCUUGUUUCUGUGUAUUGCAUACGCCAUAUCGCAUCGAAUUUCAACAAAAAAUUCAAAAAUGUUGAGCUGAAACGGCAAUUGAUUAACAUGGGUAAUGACAUUCCUUACCUUCUCUCACAGAUAAUUAUGACCUUUUACCAUUUAACUAAUUUCAUUUACUUCUUUAUGACAGCUUAUGAGAUGAAACAACCCAUAGUACAAGCAAAGCUAUCAGUUAUGCGAUCUGAGUUCAAGCAAGCAUUUUCUUGGAUAGAUCGCAUACCAUUAGAGAAAUGGACUCAAGCAUAUGAUGGGGGAAAGAGGUAUGGUCAUAUGACCACAAAUCUAGCAGAAUGCAUUAACUCUGUGCUUAAGGGAGCUCGUUCUUUGCCGAUUUCCGCUUUGGUUAAGGCAACUUUUGAAAAAACAAAAACAUGGUUUGUUGAACGAGUCUUCAAAAUAGACACCAUGUUACGCGCAGGUCAUUAUUAUUCAGAAGAUAUCACAACCUUACCUUAAAAAAAAAAACAAGAUUCGUCUAUGUGUUUUGUGAAAAGGUUUAAUGUAGAAAAUUCUGAAUUUGAUGUCCAAGAAUUAGCCACCCCCCAACAUGGUCGGCGACCUCAAUCAUAUACAGUUAGAUUAAAUGAUUGGUGGUGUGAUUGUGGCCAUUUCCAAGCUCUUNNNNNNNNNNNNNNNNNNNNNNNNNNNNNNNNNNNNNNNNNNNNNNNNNNNNNNNNNNNNNNNNNNNNNNNNNNNNNNNNNNNNNNNNNNNNNNNNNNNNCUCCACACGAUUAGAAAGGCAUAUCAAGUUGAAUUCCACCCCGUUCAAAACGAGGAUUAUUGGUCUACUUAUACCGGGCCAAAUUUCAUACCAGAACCCCACAUGCGACAUAAAAACUCGGGACGACCAAUUACGACUUGUUUGCAUAAUGAAAUGGAUCAAUCAAUUCAGAACAAGACAAAAAGAUGUUCUUACUAUCGCAAUGAAGGUCACAACAGAGGAAAUUGUCCAUUUAGACAGUAGAGUCAUGCUUUGUAAUGUUGUUCUCAUCAAAUAUUUUAAUAUCAUCUUCUUUUAAUGACUUAUAUUGAAUAAUUUAUUUUAUUUUUAAUACAUUUAUUUUACAUAAAUACAUGUAUAUUAUUUCUUUUUACAUAUUAUAUAAUUUAUACUUUCAUAUAUUAUAUAAUCUAAAAAUUUAUAAAUAAAUUAUAUCACAUUUUUAUAAGUGUAUUUUUAACUUUAACGAUAUUUAAAAAAUACUAAAUAUUUUUAAUUUAUCAAACAAAUCAUUUUUAAUCCAAUUUAUUUAAAAUUAUUGUAAAAAUAUUCAUUUUAAUUAUUCAACUUUAUAUAUCAUUUUCUUAAAUAAAAAAAAAUUAAAUUUUGGUAUUAUUUAUAAAAUACUUUUUUUAAUUAUAUAUUUUUAUUUUUAAAAAUAUUAAUUAUAUUUUUUUAAAAAAAUAAAAUCAAUUGAACUUGGCAAUUGAAUUGACAAUUUUAAUUGAGAUAAAAUACAUUGAAGUUGCCAACCCAGUAUUCAAUUUUAUUUAAACUAAAGUUGCCAAUCUAGUUGAAAAUUUUAAUUAAAAGAAUAAAAGUAGAAGGGUUAAGGAAUUUAAUUUAUGUUGCCUACACCAUUGGCAACUUUGACAAAAAAAUGCCCAUUCUUGUAAUAUUUUCUGAAUCCGUCCAUAUUUAAGUAAAUCUAAAAAAAAACUGCACCAUUUUAGUAAAAUUCCCCUCUUCUCUCUUUAGGUUAUGCAAUAAUGAUAUUUUUUUUUUCAUUCUUAUCUACAUUGAUGACAUUAUCUACAUUGAUGACAUCUUGAUUACUGGUAGUUCCCUAGUUCUUGUUAAAAGUUUUAUCAAAUUAUCGAGUGACAAGUUUUCAUCGAAAGACUUGGGUUUGUUAGCUAAAUGAUGACAACUUUCAUCUACCUCAUUAUUAGGGAUCUUCUACAUCGUGCAAAGAUGAUCAAUUCAAAUCCUCAAUCCAUUCAUAUUGUUUUGUCACCUUGUUUAACUGAUGAUGGAUCUGUGUUGUUGAAGAUCCUAUUCUCUAUUGCUCUAUAGCUGGUGCUUUUUAUUAUGUCACAAUUACUCAAUUGAAGCUCUCUUUCUAUGUUAAUAAAGUAUGUCAAUAUAUGCAUCAUCCUCAAGUUCACCAAUGAAAAGCAGUGAAACACAUCCUUCAGCACUUAGUUGGAACUUCAAACCAUGGUUUUCAUCUUCGUUCAUGCUUAGAUUUCUCCAUAGAUGGUUUUUGCGAUUCUGAUUGGGGCUCCAGCUUGGACAAUCGAAAAUCCACUACAGGCUACUACAUUAUGUGUGACAAAACCUUGUGGCUUGGUCUUCUCGCAAAACAAAAGGUUGUUUCUCCAAGCAGCUUAGUCUUUUCUUAAUUGAAGUACACAUUUCUACUUCUACACCAAAGUUAUAUACUGAGACGAUAUUGGUGUUGUUCUUCUCGUGAUCAAUCCAGUUAUGCACUUUGAACUUAAUCUUCAUUUUGUGCGUGAUUGUGUCACAAAAGCAUCUUCUUCUAAUUGCAGUUUCAAGUAGUUGAUUUACUAACCAAACUAAUUUAUGGUGCUGUCUUUCAUAAGUUCAAGUUCAAGAGUAAACUUUUGAUUGUUGAAAACUCUUCCAUAAGUUUAUCAUAUAGAUAAAGAGAGAGAAUAACACCAUUUAAGUAAGAUAAAUGUUGUGCAUGGAAAAAAAAAUUAACUAUGCGACAAAGGGAACCUCACUUUAUAGAAGAAUCCAAAAAGGUGAAAAAAAAGCAACACCAUUAUUGAAAUAAUUCAAUAAAAGAAAGAACAAGAGAAUUAGAUUCCAGCCAAAUUAAGUGUAAGAUUAACAUUUCCCUUCAUGUCAUGUCAGUGAGCAAAGAAUCUUUAGUUUGUGUAUUUAUACAAAUCCCUUACGAGCCCAAUAAUAAUGCAGUGGAGGAGGACCAUUUGAUUAUUAGUUCAGGUGAAGUGGUCAAACAGAGAUAUAAUAUAAUAUUUCGUCUUUAGGUUCAUCAGAUCCAAGUAAUAAUAAUCCAUUUACAUCAUAUGCAUGUCUCCAUCUAUUUCUUCAUAGAUUUUCAAUUUUCAUUCCAGUUCUGUUCAUCAUUAGCUAUUACAUUACAUUUUUUCUCAUGUUUAUGAUUUUAACUGAGUAUAAUGAACAGGAGUGGUGUGUAUGGUGGGAAGAUUCAAGUGGUUUCACUCUUUUUUCUUAUAUGUUUGAAUAUUAGCAAAAUGAGGGCAUGUUUGUUGGCUUCAACUGUGUUGGAUUAUGCUUGCAGACUGUCAUACAUGCAUCUAUACUGAUAAGAUGCAUAUAAGUUUAUAUAUAUAUAUAUGGCAUGAUAUGUGAUGCAUGCAUCUUAUAUAUAACCUUUUGGUUUGUUGGAGUAAACUUGUUGAUGUCUUUUAGAUUUUCUAAAAUAGCUCUUAAUCCUAUAUAUUUAUGCAGGUUCUUCACUUUUUCUCCUUUACCACUCUCCAAUAAUGGUGGAACCCAAAUGCAACGAAAGGUUAAGAAAUAAAGCAAAAGGUUAUAAGUUUCAAAAAGACAUAUACGAACCUGCCCAAAAUGGAGACAAAAUUAAAGGAGAAAAUGAAAACAAGAAAGGAAAGUGUUUUUCAUCUCUUUUUCCUUUUAAGUGUAUCAACUUUUAAUUGUAUUUUUUGCCUCAAAGUGAUGAAACUUCUAGUGUAUGAAACCAGAAAUAAAUAUGUAUUGUUUCAGGAAUAAAAGUAUUUUUAAAUUUUGUUUCAUUUCUGAUAUAAACAUGCACUAACUCGAAAUUCA
rnacentral:lncRNA from 1 species